CUGCAUGAGUUUGAUUUUUUAAAGGCUACUUCUCCCCAAUACCACCGCGUCUUUUUGUAGCAGUUUGUGCACCAGAGCAACGACAGUAGAGAGAUUUGGUAGGAAUUUGUUAUAAAAGUUGAAUAGUCCCAGAUUUGCCUUCAACUCUGUCACAUUUGAAGUUCAGGGUGCCUCAUUGAUCGCUUCCACCUUCUCAUGCACUGGGUGCAGUCCUGAUGCAUCCACUUUGUGACCCAAAAAUAUCACUUCCUCACUCAUGAACACACACUUGGUCCUCUUGAGCCUUAGACCGACCUCCUGUAGCUGUUUCAGCACCAUGGUCAGAGUCUGCAGGUGCUCUUAGUCGUCUUUUCCUGUCAGCAGGAUGUCAUCCAGAUAUAUGGCCACACGAGGGAUGCUCUACAGCAGUCCCUCCAUGGUCCGUUGGAAAAUAGCUGGACAUGAUGAAACGCCAAAAGGAAGCACUAUGUGAUAAGCCAGUUAUUCUGGUAGUGCUGCACCACACCCAUGACCGUGAGAAGAGCGUCAGCCCUCAUAGAGUGGAUCCCUCACAGCUGUUCAACAACAAGAUCGUCCUGAGUGUGGCAUGCCUGUUCUAUGAGGGCAAGCUUCUCGAAUGUAAACACAAUAGGAAAGAAAUCAAAAAGGUCAUAGAUCAUUUGUCACCUCCUAACAAAGCCCAAAGUUAAUUUUGUGAUGUAAAUAAUUCUCUGCAUUGGUGUUGCUAAAUGACCAAAUGAAGCGGAUGAUCUACGCGUCAAUAUACUAAUGAUAGAAGGCUUUGCAAGAAAACAUGAAUGUCUUAAUAUUGAUAUUUAUUUGCUCAUUGCUGUUGGCAAGUGAUUUGUGUUUUUUCUUGUUCGUUAUAACUGAUGAAAGAUAAUUAAACAUUAAACUGAAAUGUGUGUGCAUAUAUUAGUGCUGUCAGUUAAACACGUUAUUAACUGCGUUAACGCAAACCAAUUUUAACGGCGCUAACGCAAACCAAUUUUAACGGCGUUAAUUUUUUUUCUUUGGCUCAAAACAAAGAAGCAAUAGCCUGACUGCUAUGUUCAAGGCAGUAUGUUUGUAUGUUCAUCGUUUAAUUGCAUUAUAGGCAUUUUUUUUGUAUCGUCCUGUUUUGAUCAGUAUAUGCCAAUGUUAUCAAUAAAAAAACCUUUGCACAAGGCAA